GAUUCCCCUAGUAACUGCGAGUGAAGCGGGAAAAGCUCAAAUUUAAAAUCUGGUAGUCUCUGGCUGCCCGAGUUGUAAUCUAGAGAAGCAUUAUCCGCGCUGGACCGUGUAUAAGUGUCCUGGAAUGGACCAUCAUAGAGGGUGAGAAUCCCGUCUUUGACACGGACUCCCAGGGCUUUGUGAUGUGCUCUCAAAGAGUCGAGUUGUUUGGGAAUGCAGCUCUAAAUGGGUGGUAAAUUCCAUCUAAAGCUAAAUAUUGGCGAGAGACCGAUAGCGAACAAGUACCGUGAGGGAAAGAUGAAAAGAACUUUGGAAAGAGAGUUAAACAGUACGUGAAAUUGCUGAAAGGGAAACGCUUGAAGUCAGUCGCGUUGGCUGGGGAUCAACCUUGCUUUUGCUUGGCUUACUUCCCAGUUGACGGGUCAGCAUCAGUUUUGACCGGUGGAUAAAGGCUAGGGGAAUGUGGCACCUWCGGGUGUGUUAUAGCCCUUGGUCAU
rnacentral:rRNA from 1 species